AUUGAACGCUGGCGGCAGGCUUAACACAUGCAAGUCGAGCGGAGAUGAGGUGCCUGCACCUUAUCUUAGCGGCGGACGGGUGAGUAAUGCUUAGGAAUCUGCCUAUUAGUGGGGGACAACAUUCCGAAAGGAAUGCUAAUACCGCAUACGCCCUACGGGGGAAAGCAGGGGAUCUUCGGACCUUGCGCUAAUAGAUGAGCCUAAGUCGGAUUCGCUAGUUGGUGGGGUAAAGGCCUACCAGGGCGACGAUCUGUAGCGGGUCUGAGAGGAUGAUCCGCCACACUGGGACUGAGACACGGCCCAGACUCCUACGGGAGGCAGCAGUGGGGAAUAUUGGACAAUGGGCGGAAGCCUGAUCCAGCCAUGCCGCGUGUGUGAAGAAGGCCUUUUGGUUGUAAAGCACUUUAAGCGAGGAGGAGGCUACCUGGAUUAAUACUCUAGGAUAGUGGACGUUACUCGCAGAAUAAGCACCGGCUAACUCUGUGCCAGCAGCCGCCGCCGUAA
rnacentral:rRNA from 1 species